rnacentral:tRNA from 1 species
ACAACGUGCAAAGUUGAGAUAACACCCAAAAAGAGGUGCCGGGGCUUCUCCCGUUU